AUAGAUACCCGGUAGUCCAUGCCGUAAACGUUGGGCACUAGGUGUGGGGGACAUUCCACGUUUUCCGCGCCGUAGCUAACGCAUUAAGUGCCCCGCCUGGGGAGUACGGCCGCAAGGCUAAAACUCAAAGGAAUUGACUGGGGCCCGCACAAGCGGCGGAGCAUGCGGAUUAAUUCGAUGCAACGCGAAGAACCUUACCAAGGCUUGACAUGAACCGGAAACGCCUGGAAACAGGUGCCCCACUUGUGGUCGGUUUACAGGUGGUGCAUGGAUGUCGUCAGCUCGUGUCGUGAGAUGUUGGGUUAAGUCCCGCAACGAGCGCAACCCUCGUUCUAUGUUGCCAGCACGUGAUGGUGGGGACUCAUAGGAGACUGCCGGGGUCAACUCGGAGGAAGGUGGGGACGACGGUCAAAUCAUCAUGCCCCUUAUGUCUUGGGCUUCACGCAUGCUACAAUGGCCGGUACAAAGGGUUGCGAUACUGUGAGGUGGAGCUAAUCCCAAAAAGCCGGUCUCAGUUCGGAUUGGGGUCUGCAACUCGACCCC
rnacentral:rRNA from 1 species